rnacentral:lncRNA from 1 species
AGCGACAGGGAGGGAUGCGCGCCUGGGUGUAGUUGUGGGGGAGGAAGUGGCUAGCUCAGGGCUUCAGGGGACAGACAGGGAGAGAUGACUGAGUUAGAUGAGACGAGGGGGCGGGCUGGGGGUGCGAGAAGGAAGCUUGGCAAGGAGACUAGGUCUAGGGGGACCACAGUGGGGCAGGCUGCAUGGAAAAUAUCCGCAGGGUCCCCCAGGCAGAACAGCCACGCUCCAGGCCAGGCUGUCCCUACUGCCUGGUGGAGGGGGAACUUGACCUCUGGGAGGGCGCCGCUCUUGCAUAGCUGAGCGAGCCCGGGUGCGCUGGUCUGUGUGGAAGGAGGAAGGCAGGGAGAGGUAGAAGGGGUGGAGGAGUCAGGAGGAAUAGGCCGCAGCAGCCCUGGAAAUGAUCAGGAAGGCAGGCAGUGGGUGCAGGGCUGCAGGAGGGCCGGGAGGGCUAAUCUUCAACUUGUCCAUGCCAGCAGCCCCUUUUUUUCCAGACCAAGGGCUGUGAACCCGCCUGGGGAUGAGGCCUGGUCUUGUGGAACUGAACUUAGCUCGACGGGGCUGACCGCUCUGGCCCAGGGUGGUGGCAGUGCUCCUUUUGGACUUUUCUCUAGGUUUGGCGCUAAACUCUUCUUGUGAGCUCACUCCACCCCUUCUUCCUCCCUUUAACUUAUCCAUUCACUUAAAACAUUACCUGGUCAUCUGGUAAGCCCGGGACAGUAAGCCGAGUGGCUGUUGGAGUCGGUAUUGUUGGUAAUGGUGGAGGAAGAGAGGCCUUCCCGCUGAGGCUGGGGUGGGGCGGAUCGGUGUUGCUUGCCUGCAGCCAUCCAGCUGAAAGUUACAAAAAUGCUUCAUGGACCGUGGUUUGUUACUAUAGUGUUCCUCAUGGCGAGCAGAUGGAACCGGGAGACAUGGAGUCCCUGGCCAGUGUGAGUCCUAGCAUUGCAGGAGGGGAGACCCUGGAGGAGAGAGCCCGCCUCAAUUGAUGCCUGCAGAUUGAAUUUCCAGAGGCUUAGGAGGAGGAAGUUCUCCAAUGUUCUGUUUCCAGGCCUUGCUCAGGAAGCCCUGUAUUCAGGAGGCUACCAUUUAAAGUUUGCAGAUGAGCUUAUGGGGGGCAAUCUUAAAAAGUCCACAGCAGAUGCAUCCGGCUCGAGGGGCCAUCAGCUUUGAAUAAAUGCUUGUUCCAGAGCCCAUGAAUGCCAGCAGGCACCCCUCCUUUCCUGGGGUAAAGGUUUUCAGAUGCUGCAUCUUCUAAAUUGAGCCUCCGGUCAUACUAGUUUUGUGCUUGGAACCUUGCUUCAAGAAGAUCCCUAAGCUGUAGAACAUUUUAACGUUGAUGCCACAACGCAGAUUGAUGCCUUGUAGAUGGAGCUUGCAGAUGGAGCCCCGUGACCUCUCACCUACCCACCUGUUUGCCUGCCUUCUUGUGCGUUUCUCGGAGAAGUUCUUAGCCUGAUGAAAUAACUUGGGGCGUUGAAGAGCUGUUUAAUUUUAAAUGCCUUAGACUGGGGAUAUAUUAGAGGAAGCAGAUUGUCAAAUUAAGGGUGUCAUUGUGUUGUGCUAAACGCUGGGAGGGUACAAGUUGGUCAUUCCUAAAUCUGUGUGUGAGAAAUGGCAGGUCUAGUUUGGGCAUUGUGAUUGCAUUGCAGAUUACUAGGAGAAGGGAAUGGUGGGUACACCGGUAGUGCUCUUUUGUUCUUGCUUCGUUUUUUUAAACUUGAACUUUACUUCGUUAGAUUUCAUAAUACUUUCUUGGCAUUCUAGUAAGAGGACCCUGAGGUGGGAGUUGUGGGGGACGGGGAGAAGGGGACAGCUUGGCACCGGUCCCGUGGGCGUUGCAGUGUGGGGGAUGGGGGUAUGCAGCUUGGCACUGGUACUGGGAGGGAUGAGGGUGAAGAAGGGGAGAGGGUUGGUUAGAGAUACAGUGUGGGUGGUGGGGGUGGUAGGAAAUGCAGGUUGAAGGGAAUUCUCUGGGGCUUUGGGGAAUUUAGUGCGUGGGUGAGCCAAGAAAAUACUAAUUAAUAAUAGUAAGUUGUUAGUGUUGGUUAAGUUGUUGCUUGGAAGUGAGAAGUUGCUUAGAAACUUUCCAAAGUGCUUAGAACUUUAAGUGCAAACAGACAAACUAACAAACAAAAAUUGUUUUGCUUUGCUACAAGGUGGGGAAGACUGAAGAAGUGUUAACUGAAAACAGGUGACACAGAGUCACCAGUUUUCCGAGAACCAAAGGGAGGGGUGUGUGAUGCCAUCUCACAGGCAGGGGAAAUGUCUUUACCAGCUUCCUCCUGGUGGCCAAGACAGCCUGUUUCAGAGGGUUGUUUUGUUUGGGGUGUGGGUGUUAUCAAGUGAAUUAGUCACUUGAAAGAUGGGCGUCAGACUUGCAUACGCAGCAGAUCAGCAUCCUUCGCUGCCCCUUAGCAACUUAGGUGGUUGAUUUGAAACUGUGAAGGUGUGAUUUUUUCAGGAGCUGGAAGUCUUAGAAAAGCCUUGUAAAUGCCUAUAUUGUGGGCUUUUAACGUAUUUAAGGGACCACUUAAGACGAGAUUAGAUGGGCUCUUCUGGAUUUGUUCCUCAUUUGUCACAGGUGUCUUGUGAUUGAAAAUCAUGAGCGAAGUGAAAUUGCAUUGAAUUUCAAGGGAAUUUAGUAUGUAAAUCGUGCCUUUACUACAUGUGUGAUCUGAAAACCCUGCUUGGUUCUGAGCUGCGUCUAUUGAAUUGGUAAAGUAAUACCAAUGGCUUUUUAUCAUUUCCUUCUUCCCUUUAAGUUUCACUUGAAAUUUUAAAAAUCAUGGUUAUUUUUAUCGUUGGGAUCUUUCUGUCUUCUGGGUUCCAUUUUUUAAAUGUUUAAAAAUAUGUUGACAUGGUAGUUCAGUUCUUAACCAAUGACUUGGGGAUGAUGCAAACAAUUACUGUCGUUGGGAUUUAGAGUGUAUUAGUCACGCAUGUAUGGGGAAGUAGUCUCGGGUAUGCUGUUGUGAAA